GGGGCUGUGGCUGUGUGGAAGGACUUCUGCUUUGCAUGCAGAAGGUUUCUGGUUCAAUUCCCGGUAUCUCCA
rnacentral:tRNA from 1 species